AGCCAAAAUAUAACAUCCAAAAUAUUUGUACAAUCACAGUUUACAAAAACAUAAGUUCUAGCUAUUAGUGCUUAAUUCUAAAGAUUGAUUACAAAACAUCACUUCUCCUGCCAUAUCUCUAUUUCACUUCAUGGAAAGCAUCUGUAGGAGCAUCUGUAGCAUAAAACAGAUAGUAUAUAUAUGAAAAACAGCUGCACAUGAAAGCUAAACUAAGAACAUAAAUAGGAGAAACACCAAACUUAUAGCUUGUACUAGCCUAAUUCACAGGAGCAUCAAUUAUUAAACUUUAAACAUACCUAUCCAGCCAAUGCAUUCUUAAUCAGACACCUUGCCCAUUCUUCACGAACCUCGUUCAGUUGGUUUUGAGAAUAAGUAGUAACACCCUUAAACUACGAAUACAAACAAUCACCAAUAUAUUUUAUUAAUAACUACUAAUACUAUGUUAAACAAUAUUAAAGUAUAAUGUAUAUAACAAUACCAGUGAUGACAAGUGAAAAGUUGAGGCUGCCGUAUUUUGAGACCCUUCAAUAAUAUCUCUCAUAAACCUCAUCACAAAGUAGCCACAUUGCUUAUCAUCAGGUUGUGUAGGGCCCUACAAUUAUUACAUUAAUAAAUAGGUAAGGCUGCGUUAUAUGCUCCCCCAGAUAAAGUAACUAAUGCCAAGCCAAACAGAGGAUUGAACAAGAAUUUAAAUUUCCACAGAUAGCAGUAGCCAACAUUAUCCAUCAAAAGAACUUAAGAUAUUUAAUAUCGCUAAGUACCUGUUUUUUGAUAAAUUGAGGAGAAAUUUGUGAUGUACAUUUUAGCAGGAGUGCAAUUCUCUAGAACCGCUUUUGCUAAAUUACAAGAACAGUUGGAAGAUAGCAAUAAUCAAUUUAUUAAGCAAGUUCUUGUAGAGCAUCACAACAAAUCCUACUCCCCUAUUACCUAAAUGAUAUCCAAC
rnacentral:lncRNA from 1 species